UACAGAGGGUGCGAGCGUUAAUCGGAAUUACUGGGCGUAAAGCGUGCGUAGACGGUUAUUUAAGUCGGGUGUGAAAGCCCCGGGCUCAACCUGGGAAUUGCAUUCGAGACUGAAUAGCUAGGGUACGGUAGAGGGAAGUGGAAUUUCCGGUGUAGCUGGUGAAAUGCGUAGAUAUCGGAAGGAACAUCAGUGGCGAAAGCGACUUCCUGGACCAGUACCGACGUUCAGGCACGAAAGCGUGGGGAGCAAA
rnacentral:rRNA from 1 species